rnacentral:snRNA from 1 species
ACAAUACACCCUCCAAUUAC